CCUACGGGUGGCAGCAGUCGAGAAUCAUUCACAAUGGGGGAAACCCUGAUGGUGCGACGCCGCGUGGGGGAAUGAAGGUCUUCGGAUUGUAAACCCCUGUCAUGUGGGAGCAAAUUAAAAAGAUAGUACCACAAGAGGAAGAGACGGCUAACUCUGUGCCAGCAGCCGCGGUAAUACAGAGGUCUCAAGCGUUGUUCGGAAUCACUGGGCGUAAAGCGUGCGUAGGGUGUUUCGUAAGUCGUGUGUGAAAGGCGCGGGCUCAACCCGCGGACGGCACAUGAUACUGCGAGACUAGAGUAAGGGAGGGGGAACCGGAAUUCGCGGUGUAGCAGUGAAAUGCGUAGAUAUCGAGAGGAACACUCGUGGCGAAGGCGGGUUCCUGGACAUUAACUGACGCUGAGGCACGAAGGCCAGGGGAGCGAAAGGGAUUAGAUACCCGAGUAGUC
rnacentral:rRNA from 1 species